AGGGGCGGAGCUGUGGAGGGGGGUAAGAUGGAAGGGUUGCCGUUGGGACUGCUUUUCCCGAGGACGAGCCGUGCCUGGCGGAGAUGGUUCUUCCGCUCUCCGCGUUUUGGCAACGCAGUCUCUUGGAUUUAUGAGCCGUUCUGGGCUGAGGCUGUUUUGUUGUGAGCACCUUUAGCGCUGUGCAAAUCCCUCAUUUGCUGCUUAGUUGGAUUCCUCGAGCUGUCCUGAACAGUUACCUGUCAGAACAAAGUGCCGAUAAAAGCCCUUCUCCAAUCCAUCCGGUUCUGUGCUUCUGGACGUGGAAGAGACCUUUGUUAUGUUUAGAAGUGGUUUUGCUGAGGCUUUUCAAUCCCUUGUGCCCAGGUGCUAACGGCCGGCCCCGCUUUCCGCCUGCAGCCUCAUUUUGUUGUUUAGGGCAGGAUAUUUAUCCAGACCUGAUCUAUCAGAACUGUACCUUAAUCAGUCAAGUGCUGCAGCCCAGCCUCGGUGAGCCAUCCCUGCGCCGGCUGUACUGCAGAGCCUCAGUCUGUUGUCCGGGCAAGGGCAGAGACUUGUGCAAGCUCUUUGUUUCUCCUGAUACACAUUAAUUACUGUCUCUCCGCUCCUUGCUGCCAUUUGUAAGUGGCACUAAAGAAUCUAUUUUGCUUAUUCAACUGGAGUUCUCAUCAGCGCAGCAAUUCAUAAGCUGCUUUAGAGUGGGUCGGUGCUGCUUAACCAGUGCACGUGGUGCAGAACUUUUAACGAGGUCUGGUGGCGUCACUGAAGUUUUGUUUCAUGUUGCAAUGGUCAUCUCCAUUCCCUUCUGCAAUAAGAGAGGCAACAGUUAUUACGUACAGAGCUUCAGUAUGUGAGAGGACCACUUGCACUGUCAUGAGCUGCAGAGAACUGCGGGUCAAAACUUGGGUUUCCUUAUCCAGCUGUGCUGGUGACAUGUGCUAUGCAAUAUGAAUUUUCACUCAGAAACCAGCACUGGGAGUAAGAAGUGGGCAUCAGUGUUCUUGAGACAUCUAUCAGUGUCUACAGCAAGAUCCCAUCUGAUAAAG